AACGAACGCUGGCGGCAUGCCUAACACAUGCAAGUCGAACGAGACCUUCGGGUCUAGUGGCGCACGGGUGCGUAACGCGUGGGAACCUGCCCUUAGGUUCGGAAUAACUCCCCGAAAGGGGUGCUAAUACCGGAUAAUGUCUUCGGACCAAAGAUUUUUCGCCUUUGGAUGGGCCCGCGUUGGGUUAGCUAGUUGGUAGGGUAAAAGCCUACCAAGGCGACGAUCCAUAGCUGGUCUGAGAGGAUGAUCAGCCACACUGGGACUGAGACACGGCCCAGACUCCUACGGGAGGUAGCAGUGGGGAAUAGUGGACAAUGGGCGAGAGCCUGAUCCAGCAAUGCCGUGUGAGUGAUGAAGGCCUUAGAGUUGUAAAGCUCUUUUACCCGGGAUGGUAAUGACAGUACCGGGAGAAUAAGCUCCAGCUAGCUCCGUG
rnacentral:rRNA from 1 species